GACGAACCGUGCGAACGUUGUUCGGAAUUACUGGGCGUAAAGCGCACGUAGGCGGCUUGGUAUGUCGGGUGUGAAAUCCCCGGGCUCAACCUGGGAACUGCAUCCGAAACUGCCUUGCUCGAGUAUGGGAGAGGGAAGUGGAAUUUCCGGUGUAGCGGUGAAAUGCGUAGAUAUCGGAAGGAACAUCAGUGGCGAAGGCGACUUCCUGGACCAAUACUGACGCUCAGGUGCGAAAGCGUGGGGAGCAAACAGG
rnacentral:rRNA from 1 species